rnacentral:lncRNA from 1 species
UGAAUAUGCUAAUUACUAUGAUCUGGUCAUUGCAUAAUAAUUACAUGUAUCAAAGUAUCACGUGGUACCCCAUGAAUAUAUACAGUUAUGUGUCAACUUUAAAGUUUAUUUUUAAUUUCACCAAUACUUGCACCCACCUGUUUAUACUACCUUUCAGGGCCUCCUCAUCCUACUAUGUUGUAUAGGAUAACACAGACACACCUCAAAAUUUUACAGUAUCAGACAAUGUCUUCCAAAUUGUAUAUGAGUAAUUAAAAUGCAGCUCUCUGUUUCAGGAUAUAAAUACUAUUGACCUCAAUUCACAGAUUUAUUAUAUUCAGCUGUUAAUUCUUCCUGUGUUGCACAACACAUCAAAAAAUUAGUUAACAAAAAUCACAAGUCAUUUUGCUUUACUUGCUAGCACUUCAGUAGAAAAUGAGUGCUAAUCAAAGUAUAGCUGAAUCAGGGGGAUUUUCUAAAAACCCUGGGUGCUAAUGCUGCCUCACUGACGUGAUGUAUGCUGUUUCUCAGGAUAUACAUCAUUGGGUUUUCAUUCUGUCCCCAGUAUAGAACAAUACCUGCUUGUGAAGUAUAAAACGCUACCACGGAUUCAGAGUAGUUCAGCUGUUUGAAUACUCCCAUUACAAAGUAUCCUAUCUUUUGUCAUUUAUGGAAAUGUUACAGAAACUCACCAUCUGGGGGGGGGGGGGGUAUUACUCCCUAUGUCUUAAUUCUAUUUUUUGUUAAAUAAAAUUCAAAUUAUUUUUAAAAUCAUCUUUGGUUUGGCAAUUUUCUCCCUUCACCUUUAUUUCCCAACUUCCAUGAAAUAACAAAAAGAAAUCAUGUUUUUAUAGGAACAUUUACAUACAGUCUUCAAGGGAAUGAGAAGGCCACAAAGUCGAUUUCCAUUCUUGCAAGAAACAAAGAGGAGCUUUCAACCUGGAAAUGUCAGGCACCAUUACUUUCUGUAUGGACAUGUGGCAAAGUUCCAGAGAUAAGUGGAAAUGAAUUUAGUUUCAGUAAAGGCAAAUUGCAUCAUUGUAAGUUUCAUGAUAAGCACAUGUAUAUGUGGGAAUAUGUGUAUGUAUGUGUGUGUGUAACAGAAAAAUAUAUAUGUUUACAUGACAACAAAUAUAUGUAAUACAAUGAAAAUACUCAGAUAAAUAUUUAAAUCCUUGUUCACUAUCGGAGCAGAGAAUUCUCUUAAUAAAGGUAAAACAAUAUAGAAAGAGAACUGUCA